ACAGCUACUGGCUGCACCCAGGCCCUGACACGGAGUCACUUGGACAGACCAGCUUAUAAAACUAAGCACGGACUUCGACUUGCCUUGUGGCCGCGGCUGCAAUUGAUGGGUUGCAGGCUGACUUGCCAAGCAAUAAUACCUGCUGAGAGGGAUCCAGGGUCCCACUGUGUGAAGAGGUAUCAGGAGGUGGAGGGGACAGCAGAGGUCGCUGAGAGAUGGUUCUGCUCCUGGGACACGUUCUGUCUGUCGUCUGGGCAGCUUCUUCUCUUUGAGGAAAUUUAUAUCUCGAGUGGAAAGACCUCAGUGCUUCCUCUAUUGUCCUCAUGAGUGAAGGCAGCACCCAGCCCAGCAGCCUAAUUUACAGCCCCGCCUGCAGGCAGAAAUCACGCCAGCUGGACUCGAGCCCAGCCACGAGGCAGCAGAGCAGCGGCGGUUUGAGCGCCAUGUGACCCUGGCGCCUUGCUGCCCCCUUUCAGAGCUGUCAGAGAGCCUCCCUCUUCCGGCACCUCUUCAGAGUCGGGAGAGGCCAGGGGACGACGCUCCCAACAUGAAAGCAGGACUUGUGCCAUCUGGGACCCUUGUGGGGCUGCACCGUGAAUACCCACAGCAGGUACAGCAUGGACAUUAUGCCAUGACAACGUGCCUCAGCCCUUCCCUGGAGUGAGAGGGGAGUUCAGUCUCCAUGGCUCAUGCAGCCCUUGGCUUUUCUGCUCAGGCUCCCACUGAGGCAGGGCCGGAUUAAGACCUUUAGAGGCCCUGAGCACUGAAAAGAUUAUGGUGCCCCCCCAUAUGUAAUUCAAAAUAAAAACAAUACUACACCGUAAAAUAAAAUUUUAUUUUUCGAAAUGACACAAAA